rnacentral:rRNA from 2 species
GACGAACGCUGGCGGCGUGCCUAAUACAUGCAAGUCGAACGAAACUUUCUUACACCGAAUGCUUGCAUUCAUCGUAAGAAGUUGAGUGGCGGACGGGUGAGUAACACGUGGGUAACCUGCCUAAAAGAAGGGGAUAACACUUGGAAACAGGUGCUAAUACCGUAUAUCUCUAAGGAUCGCAUGAUCCUUAGAUGAAAGAUGGUUCUGCUAUCGCUUUUAGAUGGACCCGCGGCGUAUUAACUAGUUGGUGGGGUAACGGCCUACCAAGGUGAUGAUACGUAGCCGAACUGAGAGGUUGAUCGGCCACAUUGGGACUGAGACACGGCCCAAACUCCUACGGGAGGCAGCAGUAGGGAAUCUUCCACAAUGGACGCAAGUCUGAUGGAGCAACGCCGCGUGAGUGAAGAAGGUCUUCGGAUCGUAAAACUCUGUUGUUAGAGAAGAACACGAGUGAGAGUAACUGUUCAUUCGAUGACGGUAUCUAACCAGCAAGUCACGGCUAACUACGUGCC